AAUUUGUCUUUUAAAUGGAGACUGGAAUGAAAGGUUUUAUGGGGGUAUGUUGAUGAUUUAAUUAAUUAUUGAAAUUAAGGUUUAGGUUAAAAUUCUUAAAUUUGUUUGAGGGACGAGAAGACCCUGUGGAUCUUUAUUUUGUUUGUAAUAAAUUAUUAUAAAUGUUUUAUUACCUUGAAAAUUUGAUUGGGACGAUUAUUAUUUUAACAUAAUUUAAAGAAUUUAUUUUGAUCCUACAGAAGGAAUUAAGAUUAAGUUACCCCAGGGAUAACAGCGUUAUAUUGUUGGAUAGUUCAUAUUGAUAAUAAUGUUUGCGACCUCGAUGUUGAAUUAAAAUUUCUUUUUAAAGCAGAAGUUAAAUUAGUAAGUCUGUUCGACUUUUAAAAUUUU
rnacentral:rRNA from 1 species